GAAACUAAUGAUAGUUAUUGUCGACCCAUCUUUACUUGCAUUGCAUCUUUGGCUGAAAAUUCAAAACCGGUGAUUGACUCAUUAUAUCUGAUUU
rnacentral:snoRNA from 1 species